CGAUGGAGCCAUGACCUUGCAGGUGUUGCGCAGAGGGUGGCUAACCGAUGCGACUUCGGCUUUAACUUCCGAAGACUGGUAACAAGAUUUAGUAGUGUAGGCCAGAACAUCGCCCGGGUGUACGCCGGCACUCUUGAUUCUAUAAUGGAUUCGUGGAAUAACGAGAAGGCUGAUUAUGACUUCGAAACCAACACCUGUUCCGCAUUCUGUGCCCACUACACUCAGAUGGUGUGGGCUACAACCUCUUUCAUUGGAUGUGGCAGGGCUGCAUGUCCACCGCAUUCUAACACGUACAUCAUCUGUAAUUACGGACCCGGUGGUGACGAAACCCAACGCCCAUACGAAUCAGGUUUGCCCUGUUCUAGUUGCCCUGAUAGUGAAGGAGUUACAUAUAGCUGCGAGAAUAAUCUUUGCACCUGUAAGUAUUCAAUUCAAUUUAGUUCAAUUCAAUUCAAUUCAAUUCAAUUCAAUUCAAUUCGAUCGAUACAAGGUUUAUUUCAAGGUACUAAAUCCCAUUUGCAGGCCAAAAAUAAUGAAAAGGUUAAAUUUCAACGGCAUUUGAAAGAUAACACUAAUUUAGAACUUCCCUAAAAAAAAAGGGGUGCUUGAAAACUGCUUUAAGUGGGAUUAUAACGACUAUUAGUUGUCAAAUCGACUUAAGAGCUAUAGAGCCAGUAAGUAAUAGUCUGA